GCUUCCCGUUAGUCCCGGUGAUGAGUGGGUGUCGGAGAAGCCGUGCCCCCCUACUAUCAUUCAUUCCCCUUCCUUUCCCUUUCUUCCUCACCUCUGCCUCCUCCUGUCCGUGUCCUUUCUCGCCCCCACCCCCCGCCCCCCACUGCGUGCACCCGUAUCCCACUCAUUUUGUCACCACCAAGGGGAAGAAAAUGAGCGCCCGCCAGGAAGCGGAGGCAGAGCAGAGGGAAGGAAGGCGGCCCAGCCGAGCGUGGCUCCCAGGGAAACUCUGCUCCGUCCCUGUAGCUGUCCCCGUCCACCGUGAGCUCCUCACACCCCUGUCCGCCGCCGAAGGAUUAGCAGAGCGCAGGGGGGACCGCCGCAGAAGAAAAGGACAAACCCAGAAUGCAGAAAAGCUCCAAGGGGUGUUGGGCUGAGGAGAAGCAAUCCUUUCCACAGCCAAGGCAGAGAAGAAAGGGGAAGCUUAGGUGUGUAGGUACAGCUGGAUGCCAGAGGUCAGGUAGGACAUGCCUCAGUUCACCUUCGCCUGCUUCUGUGGCCUCCAUGGCUUCUGCCGGAUGAAGCGCAAGAAAAAGAAGGAGGAGGAGGAGGAGGCAAGCCGGCGGCGGGAGCAGGAGACGGUUGUGUGACCAGGGCGGGGCAAUUGAGGGAAGCAGCUACCUGUGUAGUGCCACUCCCAUCAGCUUUAGCUUAAAUUGCCCAACAACUUCCUUUCUCAACCUGCUGUACCCACAUGACUGGGAGGUUUUGUGGGAAUGGGAAGGCCUUUCUUUAGCUGUGCAGAGGCCAGUACACUCUGGCGGGCCUUUGAUUCUGAGACACACACACACAGCCAUCCAAACCGCUUGCAUUCUCCAGCUCCUGUCCAGCAGGUCCCCCGUGUAUACUAAUUUUCAUGCCAGUUGAACCAUUGACUGAGUAGGGCAGGAGUGAGCAACUCCCAUCCUCUAGGGCCAGGCUCUGGUGAUGUUUGGAAUAAAUUUCAAUUAGCCACUAAUUUUCCCAAUUUGAUAUGAGUUACUGUUUCAAUAAUAUGAGCUCUGUGGAAAAGACUAGCUACUGAGCAAUAAUGAAAGACCAGGAAUGCCAUGCGGCCCUUGUGGACUAAGAUUGCACACCCCUGAUUUGCAAAGUUUUGAAACCUGCAUUUCAUAUUUUGCCACAGUACCUCCCUUCAAGUCUAGAUCAGUCAUUUCAGUUUCCAGUACUGGAGCUCCUCCCUGAAAUCUUCUGUUGUGAAACAAUGGCAGAUGGCAGCUAUUAUUUAGCACUUGUACCAAUGUUUAUCUGCAUAAAUACACAAUAAUGUAUUUAAAAUUUGAAAUAGGGAUGUAGAAAUUUGGAAAUCUGAAGGAAACAUGCAUGCACUGGAAUCACCUUGCAACGACACUGAAAAACCCAAUAGAUAGACGUGCUUGUUAACAUGCUGGGAAAUUGUUAACAUACCUCAACUGCAUGGGGACCUAAAUGGCCUUUGAAAAUGUCAAAGUAUGGCAAUACAACUGCUGCCUGCCAAUUAAAACUGAAAUUGAGUAACACCUAAUCCCAAACACACACCCCAAACCUAUACAGCAUUUUAUUGAAAUCUGAGGAUUCUUCUGUAUGAUGAAUCUUCUGCUAGGCAUUUUCAUAUGCAUAUAAUCAAUAGUCCAUUAUCAACAACUGCUUGUGGGGAGCGGGGGACAUGGUGAGCCGGAGCCUGGCCCGGCAGCACAGGGCCGAGGGGAGUGCACCCAGGGCGGGGCGCCAGUCCAUUGCAAGGCACCCUAAGCGGGGCUUGAACCCCAAGCCUGCCACCCAGCGGGGACUGGCCAAACCCACCGCACCACCACAACCCCCUCCCUUAUAAUCUGUACUAUUAUUCCUUACCAGUAAGACAUAACUCUUUUUUAAAAAUCAUUUAGUUGAGUUAUGGCGAGCUGUUAAUAAGCGAUGGCAUGUUUUGACAAAAGUGUUAGGGUUCAGAGUCUUUUAACGGCAUGAGAAGAAUUUACAGUUGAUGAAACAUCAGGUCAGUGCCACUAGGCACAAUGCAACUCGGGUAUUCUUAAUUUGUUAGUUGACUAAUGCUUCUCUACACUGCAGCUUAAUUUUACCUAUUUAUAAAGCUGGGUAUUUUACCGGAGCAGUAGAGGUUAGAAGUGGUGCUCUCGAGUACUACAGCAAAAUCUUUCACUGAACUUGAACAAACAACGCUAUGGGUUGAUGCCCUUAAGCACUACCUUACUCACUGUCCCAUUACAGCAUAUAAUGAUAUUAAUCAUAUACUGGGUUUAUUUAGUAAUAUGUGCUCAGUUCUCUUUUUAAGUACAGUAUUUUUAAUUAUUUGGUGUACUCAUUUUUUCACUUGCAGUAUAUGAACAAAGCAUACAAGCUUGGUCAUACAAGGCAGUCUAUGCACUGCGUAUGGUGAAAGAAACUGUAACUCUCCCAUCACAGUCCAAAGUUGAUACUCCUGUAAGAUUUAAAAAUUCAUGACAAGUUCAAAGCUUUGCUUUCUCCUCAUUCACUCAUCUUUAUAAUUACCCUACAUUACUAGAAACAACUGUGGCAGCGCUUUUUGCAUGUACUGUACGCAUUCAUUAUUGGUUUUGAAUGCUUUGCAGAUGCACCUAGUUGGACCAGUUAUGUUGUUCUUUAGAAUAGAAAGGUGGAUACAAGAAGCAACAAGAGGUGUGAACAGCAGCAGACUUGCUUUGUUUUCUUGGGUUCACUCACUAUAGGCUUUGUGCAACCGGAACAGUACAAUUAACAUUUCCAGUAGGAUAUGGCAUGUUGUCUGACAGUUUGUAGCACAAACCAAGCCAAACAGCAGCAGGGCUGCAGCGAACUGAUAAUUCCAUGACGUCUUUCUGGACUAAAGACAUAAUUAACAAUUCAAAGCAUUUCACCCCGUGACAUAUCAAUCAACACACCUGCUGUUCUAAGCACUCACAUUUUUUGCCCAAAAAUAAAUGGAUAGACUUGAGAUAACAAAACCUUAGUUGUAUAUGUAGUGUCUUUUAUACUGGGGAGGUGAGUAAUUUUUUCUUCCCUCUCAGAAAGCAGAAAUUGGCGGGCACAAAGUGUACAAAUGUUUUUUUUUUUUUUUUUUAAAUUGUGGUACCGUAUUAGGUAAUAGUUAUAAUAUUUAACGAGAAGUGAAAUAGCACAAAAACGUGCUCCUUCUUACCAUGGAUGAUGAUCACUGCACACUGUAAAGUAGAAGGUACACAAACUCCUUCCAUGACAGGUUUUUAUUUUUUACAAUCUCAUUAGUCAGUGAUGUGGUGAUGUGGCUAGUACCACAGCUAAGUGCAACCCUUAUAAAUGUUGCCUGAUUGCUGAUUUUUUUUAUUUUUAGAACGAUUUAUACAUCCGACUCACACAGUCCAGUCCUAUAUUAUCUUUGCUUGAGAGGCACAGCCCAAUAAUACUAAUAAUAGGAUGUAUUCACGGUAAGGAUAUUUUCUUUUGGAUGCCUCGCCUCUCAUUCCCAGGAUCACAGUAUUGUUCGCGGAUGUUAAGCCGCAGGCAAAUUAUGCAUUGCUAAAAAUAGGGGGAAGACCGCAAAUCCUUUAUUAACGUUGCUACAAACCCGCAAAAAAAAAAAAAAGAACACUGUCAGACACGGUUCCCCUCAUAGCAAAGGAGUCAGAAAGAAAAGAUUCGGCACAUGAGGCUUUCAUUUGCAUCCUUCCCUUCCCUUUCCCCUACUGACUGGGGCCCUCUGGCACAUGCUCGGUGGCCGCUCUGUGGCUGACGUCCCUCUUGGAGGAGACAGUUGCCCUUUUUUCCCUAAUGAAGAUUAAAGCGCGCGUUUCCUCUUCUUCAGAAAUUCUAAUUAGCCAUCCAGCCGGCCUGCAAGCACACGAGGCGGGGAGAUGUCAGUCGGCGAUAGAGAAGCUGCGAAAGAGAGAUUGUUUAAUUGCAAACGUAAUGGAUGUUGUCAGGAGCACCUGUCAAAUCUCUGGCGAAAACGGACCAACGGGUAGGGGGAGAGAAGAGGGGUAACUCUGCUUGAUUGCUAAUUUGUGCAGGUCUACAAAUAUCAAACGUGCAACGUAUGCAAUGUGUGGCUGUUGGGAGGGAAGGUAAUCGCAUACGAAAGACAAACUGCAAGAAAUAAAUGUCUUUGGAGGGUUUGGGUAAUUUGUUGGAAAACAUGCCAUUUGCAUUCUGCUGCACCUGCUGCUUCCGACUUGGUAGCGCUCCAUGCUACACUGGAGUGCAGUGUUAAGGUUCGGCUCCACCAAAAUCCUGCAUCAUGUUUAUCACACGAUCCCCUUCGCUUUUUUGAGCUUGGUUUCCUCUAGGGUGGUUUCACGCAGAAAAACAAGCCAUUUUAUAACAUGCGAAACAUACUGCAGACAUCUAAAAAAGCCAUCAGCUAGCUAUGAAAAACCACCCUUGUUUUUCACAGCAGAAAUUGAUUUUUUUGCUUUACUUUGUUAAUGAAUGCGCUGCAUAUAUAAACAAGGUAAUGAAUAAAACAAUGUGAAUGUUACAUGAGAGAAGUCUUUUCUCUAUAGACCCUCUGUAACUAUGAGGACGGAGAAGGACAGCUUCGCUUUCUGUAUCGAAGCGACCAAAUAGGUAAACAUCUGUUUGAAAAUGGAAUGCAGAUAAUUAAUCAUGAAAGAAGGUCAAUCACAAGCGUGUUCUAUACCCUUAAAAGUGCUUUAUGGUGACCUCUGAUUGCGCACAUCAUUCUGGAAGUGAUUCAUUUUGGCAGCUUACCUUUUAAAUGGGGACGCUGCGUUACACUGGAUGGAGCUCAUUUUACAUUUUCUGGCUGGCCAAGGUGUUUUGUACUCUGUUUAAUCUGGAAGACCUUCUUAUCCUUUCGGUUUGUGUUUCAUUUAUGCAUAGCGGUUGAACUAAAUUCAAAUGAUGUCAAGUUGAAAGCAGCUUAGAUUGAACUUGUAUUUUUUUUUUUUUUUAACAUAUGCACAAGCUAGUCUUUCACAAGGAAAAAGAAGAUUAACUUGUAGCUUGUCAUUUACAAGAAGGGUUUUGCAGCCAAAAGAAAAGUGUUUGCUGUCAGAAAGUGGGAUAAGCUUAACAGGGCUGCUGUUAUAAAACAAAAAGGGCAUGAAGCAAACAUGUCUUUCAGUAAACAAAAGAUGCCAUUUGGUUAUAUUUAGUUGUAAGAACUGGGCAAGGCAAUCAAUAAUAGUGAUAAAAAGGGCAUGAAAGCCUGAAUGACGAAAAAUGCUGGAAAAAAAAGAACACAAUGGAAUUAAAAGCAUCUCUGGGAUACAGUGUGAAAGUGAGUUCAUCAAUAAAAGGAGCUGUAAGAGAUCUUCACAGGAACUGUACAAACAGGGCUUCAGUCUGUCCCUGUGUGUGUGUGCCUGAAUGCAAUUUGAAUUAAUCAGUACAGAUGCUCAGAAUGAUGACGGAUAGGUGAAAUGAUUGUAUUUAUUAAGGUCCAGCUCAUGGUUUCACCGAAUCGAUUGUAAGUGUUCUGUCUGAGCGGUAUUUGAUUGUUUGUAAGGCAAGUAUGGCCUAAUCUGUUUAUAUUUCAGAAUACAGAAUUAGUCUUCUAUUUCAUUGUUUUCUAUUGUCCUUUUUCAGGCAAUAUGAAUUAUAUACUGUACACAAUAACGCAAUGGAUA